rnacentral:rRNA from 1 species
UACGUAGGGGGCAAGCGUUGUCCGGAAUCAUUGGGCGUAAAGAGCGUGUAGGCGGCCCGGUAAGUCCGCUGUGAAAGUCCAGGGCUCAACCCUGGGAUGCCGGUGGAUACUGUCGGGCUUGAGUCCGGAAGAGGAGUGUGGAAUUCCUGGUGUAGCGGUGAAAUGCGCAGAUAUCAGGAGGAACACCAAUGGCGAAGGCAGCUCGCUGGGACGUGACUGACGCUGAGACGCGAAAGCGUGGGGAGCAAACAGG